GCUAAUAGUCUGAAAUUUAAUGCGGGAAAAAUUGGCGCUUUAACAUUAUUUCACUUUUUUAUUUUUUUUAUUUUCCAUUUAUUUCUUCUAACCUUAUCUCAUCCGAGCCCUAGGUUUCUCUUCAGCCUCCCAUUCACCAGAUCUCUAUUCUCAGUCUCAACUCUGAACUUGCCCCCUCUAGUUCUCUCUGCAACUCCCCAAUCGCUUCCAUCUCUAUUAUCGUUCUCAACCUAUUGCACCACAGCCAUCACUAUCACUCCACCCCAUAUCCUCACACCACCACUGAAGCCAACCCCUCUCUCUUUAUUCGAGCUCUCUGCUAUGGGUUUUUCGGCGAGAUCUCUGGCUAAACCUCGGCCUCUCGCUCUCGAUCUCAUCUCUUCUCCAUCGGCUUCGUCUCCGGCCGACCCUUGGCCAAAGAGAUAACAUUCUCAUCUCGCCGCCAUCCACCACUGCAAUUUUCGGUCAUCUUCUCCGGCAAAUCUCAGGCUGUCAUCUCAUCGUUCUCGUGUUGGUCUCUCUCUCGGAUUUUUCUCUUCAUUCCUUUGCUCUUCUCUCUAUCUUUCGGAUUUGACCUAUUUGGAGACAUUACUUCCAAAACACACGGGCAUAUCUUUUUGGUUGACAGCAAUGAUCCGGACUGUGUGGUUGAGGCUAGGGACGAACUGCAUAGAAUGUUGAAUGAGCCUCAAUGAGGAGGAAGCAGGUAAACUCAAGUUUGUAUGCGUUUCAAAUAAUGGUAUUAAUGACCAUAUGGUUUGGUAUCUUUUUCUCUUUUCUUGAAUAUCCAUGCUUCAUUUACUUUCGUUUUAGAAUUUUAAGUUAUAUUUGUGCAUUCCUACCUUUUUGUUCAGCCUAUAACAGUAUCUGGAAUGGUUUCAAGUUUUAGUCAUUCAUCAGGAUAUAAUACAUUAAGAUGAAGUUCAAUUUGUUUUUUCUUUGGGAAUGCUUCUAUCUAUAUAUAUGCCUAGGGUUUGGAUGAAUUCUGUGUCUUUUUCAAUAUCUUGAACUUCUGAUUAUUCCUUGCUUAUAGAAAUUGGCAUCUUCAACAGUUAAUAAAUUUUUUUGUCGAUUUGUUGUUUCUGCGCCUGCUGGAGCAACUUGGGGCACAAGUUCUCUACACAAUCUUCGCUACCUUUUGCUUGAUAGCUGUGGUUUUUGUGAAGAGGAAUGUGAUGGAAAUGAAAGGAAAAUCACUCCAAGAAAUUGAGGGCGAACAGUUCUGAAGAAGGUAACGAUGUUUAAGAAGUGUUUUUAAAGAAGUUUGAAGAUGAAGUUGAAGCUAGAACAAAGAAAUUUUGAAGAUGGGCUCGUGGCUGUGUUUACUACUUUUGUGAAAAAUUCUUUUCAUUUUGUGUAUAGUUCUUUUGUAAAAACUUGGUGUUCGGUACAACAUUAUCUAUUAGUAGACAUGCAAUUUGGAUGUUAUUUUCAUAUUUGGCAGGUUAAUCGGUAGACAUUUGGAUGAUAA